GCUUCUAGGACCCCAGGCUGAAGACCAACUCUUCAUCUUUAAUUCUACAAAUUGCUCCAGGAGCCUCUCGAGUUUUGGAAUGUGUAAGCUGGAAAAUCAAGAUAGCAUUAUGAUGUAUUGGCCCAGAGCCUCAUUCCCACAAUAUUUGAUGAAAGUGAAUGAAAAUAAUGUUGAUAAGGAAAGUUAAGACUACAUUAGAAGAAAACAAUCGAGAAAAAGCACCUCAUUGAAGAAGCAAUACCGGGGAUCAAAGGACUUAUGACAAGAUACCG